UUUAUCUAGCGCAUAUACAGCUGGCACCGCCAAUAUUUGCGAUCAUUUUUCUCACUGCAAUGACAAAACAUUCACAUACGCAAUAUUUGUUGCAUUUCCAAGUGAACCGGACGCUCUAAAACGACCAAUGACCCCUUUCGAAGACAUUUCAGGCGUGCAAAUAGUCUUGUGGAUAGCCUUGUGUAUGCGUGUUUCCUUUUCAAGCAAAGGUAUUGUUUGCGAACUUUGCGCGUCAAACUGGGGCCAUUUCCCUUUGACAUUGACGUAGCAAAUGUAUAAGAAUAGUGCACUCGGCAUUUGGGUAUCACUUGAAAUCAACUAUAAACACGAAACUUACAGCACUAAGAGAGGAAAGCUACUACGAAAGAAAUUAUUCGUUCUUUAAACAAUAAAAGAACUUUAAUCAUAAGGUUGAGCUUCAUUCCUGCAGAAAAAAGAAGAUAUAAUACAACGUUGAAAACUAGUUUGAUAACAGUAUACAAUAAAGCAACUAUAAUUGAGGAGGAUUACAAAUUUGAGGAAAAACUAUAAAAAAAAACAAACGAAAAGCUCGUUGCAUAGGAAGACACCGCAUUAAAAGACAAUCCCGCGAAAAAAUGGAAGAACAACAUGGAGAACAGAACAUUGAAGAAUUAACAGCACAACAACAACGUUUGGCAAUCAUUGCUAAGACACUGCAAACAAUCGGAGAUGAUCUCGACAAAAACAUCAGAACAAGAAAACAUUUCAACUACGGUAGCUGGACAACUAUAAUAACUGCGGUGUUUGUCAUUACCACGAACUGUUUUUCAUCCAACGAAUCUACAAUUUCCGAGUAUUUAUGAAAAAUGGUGCCAGCACGCUGACUGAUAAAAGUGAAUGAAUGUAAAAUCGUGAACUCGUACACUACAUCAAAAAUCCCAUGCAUUCACAAUGAGUCUUAGCUUAAUUUUAUACGUAUUUAUAAUAUAUAGUAACGUAACAUAUUUAUGUGUGAAGAUGUAAAUAAAGCAAAAAACAAUUCAAAAUAUGAAUCGAUCUAUGCCUCAA